UACGUAGGGUCCGAGCGUUGUCCGGAAUUACUGGGCGUAAAGAGCUCGUAGGUGGUUUGUCGCGUUGUUCGUGAAAACUCACAGCUCAACUGUGGGCGUGCGGGCGAUACGGGCAGACUUGAGUACUGCAGGGGAGACUGGAAUUCCUGGUGUAGCGGUGGAAUGCGCAGAUAUCAGGAGGAACACCGGUGGCGAAGGCGGGUCGCUGGGCAGUAACUGACGCUGAGGAGCGAAAGCGUGGGGAGCAAACAGG
rnacentral:rRNA from 1 species